GGAUUGAUAGCUCAGUUGGUAGAGCAGCGCCCUCUUAAGGCGAUGGUCGCGGGUUCAAAUCCCGCUCGGUCCACCA
rnacentral:tRNA from 1 species